rnacentral:rRNA from 1 species
UAUGGUGUGUGCCAGCCGCCGCGGUAAUACGUAUGGUGCAAGCGUUAUCCGGAUUUACUGGGUGUAAAGGGAGCGCAGGCGGUGCGGCAAGUCUGAUGUGAAAGCCCGGGGCUCAACCCCGGUACUGCAUUGGAAACUGUCGUACUAGAGUGUCGGAGGGGUAAGCGGAAUUCCUAGUGUAGCGGUGAAAUGCGUAGAUAUUAGGAGGAACACCAGUGGCGAAGGCGGCUUACUGGACGAUAACUGACGCUGAGGCUCGAAAGCGUGGGGAGCAAACAGG